rnacentral:lncRNA from 1 species
CCAUUGCUAGGGCCAUUCUUAGAGACCCUGCUAUUCUAAUUCUCGAUGAAGCCACCAGUGCUCUGGACGCAGAAAGUGAAUACAACAUCAAGGUAAUUAUUUUAGUAAUUACUAUUGCAUACAAUGAAAUGUUCUAAUUUUUUGCAGCUGAUACUCUCUAUAUAUGUUGUUACCAAUAGGACAUUCUUCAUGGAUUCAGAAAUGAUAUGAAUGCAAAAAGAACUGUAAUUGUCAUAGCACAUCGGUUAGUUUUCUGAUAACACCUUUUCUUCUAGUUAAAUUUUAGGUUGACUUUGUGUUUAUGCUGAUCCUGUUGCAGCCUAUCCACAAUAAGAGCUGCCCACAGAAUCAUUGUUAUGAAGGGUGGUCAAGUUGUUGAGGUAGGGUUUUCUAGUUUAUAUGUAUUGUCUCUAUAUAUUUGUGUACAGUGGGAACCGCAAGCCUUGUGUCUGACAGCAAGACUUUUUGCAUGAAAAUGAAAGUAACCAUUUGUCAAUGAAUUGAUGUGCAGAUGGGUGGCCACAUAGAGCUUCUUAGCCAGAACGGACUAUACACAAGAUUAAAUAGAAUACAGACGGAUUCCUUGCCGAUCUAGGAAAAUACAUAGGUUACUAACAGUUGCUCUACGGGUAUGCAUAUAUAAUUCUCAGUUAAGUGACUUCUUUUGCUAUAGUAGUCUUGAGGAAUACCAUUAUUUAUUUUCAUAAAUUUUAAAAACUUUGUUAAAUAUCACAAAAACAUAUAUACAAUCAAGGCUCAACCAAGACAGAGUGUUUAAGACAGAAAAUGUAAAAAUACUAAAAUAGCAUUCAAAGCUGCUCAAGACCUUCUGUGGAAAAAUUAUCAGGCUGGGGAACCUGUCGAUGAGGAAUGCCUUUUGGUUCCUGGCUUUCUUUCUUGAUCAUCUUCUGUUCACCAUCCUCUGCAAUACUCUUUCCUGCUUUUUUCAUCUUUUGGCCAACUUUGUCCCUACCCACUUUUUCUCCCAGUUCCUUCCAUGGCUGGUCUUUUGGGUAUACAGAAUAAUUUACCGAAUUAUUACCACUCGGCUUCUCCUCCAUUGCUAGCUCUGCUAUCUCCUCCCAGCUAGCCAUGUAAAUAUAUAUAGACACAGUAAAGUAUUAAUCAAUUUGUGUGUUUGUG